rnacentral:sRNA from 7 species
AUCUGAAGCCUGACGAGGAUGAGAACCUCCGGGGGCAAGAGGUUCGACCCGAGCGAAGCGAGAGAACGUUGCGUCAGCAACGGCCCGCAGGGCGAGCCAUCCUCUAUCACCGGCA